ensembl:lncRNA
CCUCCUUUCCAGCACCUUGGAGUAGACUUUACUAGGGAGGCUGAGAAGUGUGAUACCCCGGUAAUUGGCACUCACUCUCUGGUCCCCCUUUUUGAACAGGGGAACCACCACCCCGGUUUGCCACUCCUUUGGCACUGUACCCGACUCCCACACGAUGUUGAAUAGGCGUGUCAACCAUGACAGCCCCUCAACACCCAGAGCCUUUAGCAUUUCUGGCUGGAUCUCAUCAAUCCCUGGGGCUUUGCCACUGCGGAGAUGUUUGACUACCUCAGUGACCUCCACCAGGGAAAUUGACGACGAAACACCAUCAACCUCGAGCUCUGCCUCCAACAUAGUGGGCGUGUUAUUCGGAUUCAGGAGUUCCUCAAAGUGUUCCUUCCAAUGUCCGACAACCUCCUCAGUUGAGGUCAACAGAGUCCCAUCCUUACUGUACACAGCUUGGAUGGUUCCCCGUUUCCCCCUCCUGAGGUGCCGGAUAGUCUUCGAAAAAACACUUUGGUGCCGACCGAAAGUCCUUCUCCAUGGCCUCUCCGAACUUCUCCCACACCCGCUGCUUAGCCUCCGACACGGCAGCGGCUGCAGCCCUUCGGGCCUGUCGGUACCCUGCAACCGAGUCAGGAGUCCUCCAGGAUAUCAUAUCCCGGAAGGCCUCCUUCUUCAAUCGGACGGCUUCCCUGACCAUCGGUGUCCACCACGGUGUCCGAGGGUUACCGCCCCUUGAGGAGCCUAAGACCCUGAGGCCACAGCUUGCCACAGCAGCUUCAGCAAUUGAGGCUUUGAACACCGCCCACUCCGGCUCAAUGCCCCCAACCUCCACAGGAAUGCCAGAAAAACUCCGCCGGAGGUGUGAGUUGAAGACACCUAGGACGGGGGCCUCCUCCAGACGUUCCCAGUUCACCCGCACUACUCGUUUGGGCUAACCAGGUCUAUCCGGAAAUUUCCCCCAUUCCCUGAUCCAACUCACAACCAGAUGGUGGUCGGUUGACAGUUCCGCCCCUCUCUUUACCCGAAUGUCCAAAACAUGCGGCCUCAGAUCAGAUGACACGAUCACAAAAUCUAUCAUUGAUCUUCGGCCUAGGGUACUCUGGUACCAGGUACACUUAUGAGCACCCUUAUGUUCGAACAUGGUGUUUGUUAUGGAUAAUCCAUGACUAGCACAGAAGUCCAAUAACAAACGACCGCUCGGGUUUAGAUCAGGGAGGCCGUUCCUCCCCACCACGCCUCUCCAGGUGUCUCCAUCGUUGCCCACGUGGGCGUUGAAGUCACCCAGCAGAACUACGUAGUCCCCUACUGGAGCCCCAUACAGGACUCCAUUCAGGGUCUCCAAGAAGGCCGAGUACUCUGAGCUGCUGUUUGGUGCAUACGCACAAACAACAGUCAGAGUUUUCCCCCCUACAACCCUUAGGCGCAGGGAGGUGACCCUCUCGUCUACCGGGGUAAACUCCAAUACCGCGGCGCUCAGCCGGGGAUUUAUGAGUAUCCCCACACCCGCCCGGCGCCUCACGCCCUUGGCAACUCCGGAGAAGAAUAGAGUCCAACCCUUAUCCAGGAGUACGGUACCAGAGCUGAGACUGUGCGUGAAGGUAAGCCCCACCAGAUCUAACUGAUAGCGCUCCACCUCCCUCACAAGCUCCGGUUCCUUUCCCCACAGCGAGGUGACGUUCCACAUCCCCAGAGCCAGCUUCUGCCGCCCGGGUCUGGUCCGUCGAGACCCCUGACCUUCGCUGCCACCCAUGUGGCUGCGCACCCGACCCCAACGGGUCUUCCCACAGGUGGUGGGCCCAUGAGAUGAAGAGAGGGGGGGUGCCACGUAGUUUGUUCGGGCUGUGCCCGACCGGGCUCCGUGGCAAACCCGGCCACCAGGCGCUCGCCAUCGAGCCCUCCGUCUGGGCCUGGCUCCAGACGGGGGCCCCGGGCUUCCUCCGGGCCGGGUCACAUCUCCUCUUAUUCCGAUAUUCAUUGAGGAUUUUUGAACCAUUCUUAGUCUGGCCCCUCACCUGAGAACACUCUGCCAUGAGAGACCCUACCAGGAGCACAAGGCUCCAGACAACACAGCCCUCAGGUUCACAGGGACACGCAAACCUCUCCACCACGAUAAGGUGACGGUUCCAGGAGAGGUCCAUGCAGAUUGUGUGACAGUAUAUUAUCUUCAAGAACACAGAGCAGUAACACUGACCAGCCUGAAAACCAGCAGUAUCGCUCCAUAAGAGAUGGGGACCUUAUACCAGAGGGUGAGCUGGCUUGGCAAGUGAUACUAGACCUGAAGGAAAUCGUAGAGUUGGUUGUGGCACCUGUUCACACGCACGAGACCAUUGCGUACCUUGAUGUCAAAGUGUCUGAGCACAGACACAGGUUGCUUGAGCUUAUCCCAGGUAUCAGCACCAUUUUGGGGCGUUCCAGUUAACAUUGUCACCAGGAAGAGAGGUUGCCCUUGUUCAGCUUGAGGAGCUGACGGAUUACUGUCCACUUGUGGCCUACACAGUCGGAUCCAGACGUAUGGGGACCCUGAAGAGACACAUCGUCAUUACAGAUUAGCAAAGCAGGAUGGCAGCACGAGUAACCUUCAGAGUCCUCUUUGGAGGUGAAGAGGAUGCAAGAAAACUCUCCAUUGAAUCCGGAAAACCAAGAACUGUGGAGGACUUGGCUCUUAAAAUCAAGACUUUCUUUGAAGUGACUGCGAAGUUCAGACUUCAGUACAAAGACAAAGACAUGGAUAAUCAGUUCAUGAAUUUCUUGUCAACAUCAGAACUUGAAGAUAAAGGGACGUUGAAAGUGGUGUACAUGCUUUGUGAGACAACCAGGUCCGCUCCACUCACGGAAGAUGCCUGCUGCACAAUCCCAGCCGAGCUGGACACCCCGAGGUUGCCAUCAACUCUCUGAAAAACAAGCAAAGUGGCCAGCAGUCUCCAGCAGCCAACAUCAAGAAGCCCAGGAAGGGAGAUGUACAUUUCUGUCCGAACAUCCCUAGUGGUGAAACAAAACACAGUUAGGAGAUGGAAAGGGUGGCUAUACUGAUGGAGUAAAAAAUAAGAAAAGGGAUGAGGCCCUCAUCAAGGAAAAGAUGCAGCGUACAUUCUCCCUCAGGAGACAGGAGGUUCUCCAGGAGCCAAAGAUUCCAGAGUUUUUCAAUAAAUGGCCAGCACUCUUUGACGUCAUUGAGAUCAACUUGGAGUUUAUGCGGCUGACAACUGUACCACUGACCUCAACAUUUUUGAGGGAACUGGACCGCCUGACCGGCGACCUGAUCAGGGUUUUCAACACUAAAGGGGGAGCUGCAGGGGAAAAAAUCGGAGCCAUGAUGGCAAAGAUGGAGAAUAAUCAAGACAUCAACGUGAGGCGUGAUUGCGUUUUGAGAUGUCUCAGCAUCUACCUCUGUGAAGACCUGGACACAUUGGUCAAAGAAUACGUGGUAAGUAUGUCAUCUUUCUGUCCUUUGUGCCAGAUGUAAUUAAUUUCCCUCUAGGAGCACCUGAUAACAUGUGGUGUUCAUGAGAAUGGGAUGGGCAUUAGGUCACAUUGACCUUGACCACCAGUAGUUCGUCAUUGGGUCCAAUGGGUUGUUUGUUUUGAGUAAGAAAUUCCCUCAAGGCAAUGGUGGUAGUGCUGUCACUUGUAGGAAGUAAAUCCAAAUGGUCCGGAGGGGCCUGAGGUGAAGGGACGGGUCCUGGCACCUAAGCGUCUCCAAUCUGCCAGCAACAAUUCUGCCCCAAACAAGAAGGAUGCAUGUUGUGGACUCUCAGCUUAUGAGCUCCAACGCCUGAAGAACAUCGGGGAGAGGGAAGCCUUCUUGUCGUCCUUGAUGUUAUUGCAAGUAGGUGGACAUGUUGACUGGAACUCUAACCAACACAAGAUUGAUCGACUUGUCUCUCUCUCC